rnacentral:siRNA from 1 species
UAGAUCUCGGGAAAUGCGUAU